AUGGGCGUCAGUAGCAGUAACAGCGGUUUGUCUAGGCUCGUCUUCAUUGGCGCUCUGGCCAUCUGCAUGGCUUUUGUGCAGUCAGAAACAGUUGAUGAUUCCUCACCUACACUGAAGUAUGAUAAUCAGGACACACUAUCCGGUGCUGGAGGCUUCGAUGUGACAACAAAAAUCCCUGUUCAAGACCCCAAAGAAAACACCCACACCUAUGAUUAUGAAGAUGCUACAUACUCCAUAACCCUGGAUGAGGAGGAAGUUGUGCUGGGGCCAGGUGCCAUCACAGCAAUCGUCAUCGCCGUGUUCCUCGGAGCCUCUGUUCUUCUCGCUCUCAUUGUGAUCACGCUCAGAAAGUUCACUGCCUCUUAAGGGACAUUUAUGUGUUUUCAUUUCCUCCCUUCCUCAAUCCCAUCUCUUCUUUUUACUCUUCUCAAACUGUAUUUUCAAGUGUCUCGUUGGUGGCAGGUCCUUCGUGGAAUGGAUGCUCUUUGCUGAGACCUGUUUUGUGAUUUCUUACUCCUAUAAAACUGAAGACAGAGAAAACCAGAAUCAGGUUGAACAAAAAAGUAACUGCAAUCAAGAGAAAUUAUGGAUGCAUUUGUUUGGUGACCAUAUAAUCAAUGUCGAUAUCCUCUUGUAAUAAGGUUUAGACUGAAAUAUUUCAAGGUAGAAUUAUUAUAUUAGAGACACGUUUUAAGAUAUAGUUUAAUACCAUCCAUGUGCAACUAGGUUUUUUCAUACUGUAUUUUAAUCUCCGACUCAGUACUCCUAUAAAACUGAAGACAGAGAAAACCAGAAUCAGGUUGAACAAAAAAGUAACUGCAAUCAAGAGAAAUUAUGGAUGCAUUUGUUUGGUGACCAUAUAAUCAAUGUCGAUAUCCUCUUGUAAUAAGGUUUAGACUGAAAUAUUUCAAGGUAGAAUUAUUAUAUUAGAGACACGUUUUAAGAUAUAGUUUAAUACCAUCCAUGUGCAACUAGGUUUUUUUCAUACUGUAUUUUAAUGUAUACCAAUAUUCUUGUCAUUCUAGAUUUGAGUAGAAUGAUCAUGUCCUUUAGAGUUUAAGAUAAAGUGUGUGUACAGUAUGAAUUAAGAGAAAUCAAAGCAGUCUUUCAGAGUGAGUGUUUUAAUUGAACUUUUAUACAUAAACAGAUGAAUCUGUUUGUCACCUUAUGAUUGGUCAUUGAACAGAUAAAGAGACAAUGUUUAAUCCUCUUGCAAGAGUGGUUUCUUUUGACUGGAAUGAUUUUUUAUAUCUAUAAUGCUUUGACAUUGGUUGCCUUUUAUAUCUAUAUUUUAUAUUUUAUAUUUAUAUUUAUAUCCUCUUUAUGGUCAGUUGCAGAGGAAACAAUCCUUAAAAAACGUAACAGAUAAAGUUGAAAUAUAGGCCUAACGUUACCUCAACACAAUAUUUGUGGAAAGUACCAACAGUAACAUACUGUAAUCUGUCUGUGGUUUUAACGGUUAAGAGUGAGAAUUUUGACAACCUAACGAGUGCUAUAAGUGUAAAAAAAAUAGCUCUGAACACUCAACACUUGUGCUAAUAUAAAUGAAUGUUAUUACAGUGUUUAACAUGUCGGCUCGUUGGUCUAGGGGUAUGAUUCUCGCUUAGGGUGCGAGAGGUCCCGGGUUCAAAUCCCGGACGAGCCCAAGUUUUUUUUUAUAUUAGUUUUUGGAAUGCGCAGUAUUGAAGUGUGGACUGUUCCUCCGAGUUUUCUAGAAAAUGUGGGAACGAUAUUUAAUAAAGCUGAUGGUUCUUUAGCGUUCGGCGUCAACAGCCUUGCUUACAUGUACGUUACUUACAGCGCCUCUUUGUGGUAAAGACUAAAUGCAAGGUCCAUUCAAUAUUGUCAGUAGUUGACAAAUAAACAAUACUUCCUGAAAGGUAUAUUGACAAAUAAUGUCGAUUUCGGGAAGAAAAAAAAGUUUAACAGUCGUUUCACGUAUUUUUUUUGGAAUAGAAUUUGAUUUCCAGCUCAUAUGAUGAGUGAUGAAUCACUUGUUCUGAUCCUUCGAUGUAGUAAGAAUUUGACUAAAAGAAAACUAUCUAGACGCAAAACAUAUUUGACCCCGACGUGAUUUGAACACGCAACCUUCUGAUCUGGAGUCAGACGCGCUACCGUUGCGCCACGAGGUCAGUCUCACUGUAGCCUUUCUUUACUGUCAUUAUGUCUGUACGCCAGCACGCCUUAUUUUUAUUUAUUUUUUUUUAUGGUAUUGGUACUUAUUUUUAUUUAUUUUUUUUUUUAUGGAUGUAGGUUUUAGGAUCAUUGACUGUAUAAAAACAUGGACGAUGUGUCCGUGACGUCACCCAUAGACUCCUGAAGAGCGUUUUUGAAAUUCAAAGUGUGACUUUCCCGGAUAAUCAAAAAUGGGCAAAAAGGCGGGAGCUGGUUGCUGAAGCCACGCCCACCUAGCUCGACACCAGUCAGCAGCGGCAAUCCACCUGUCAAUCAAGUGGCCACGCCCUUAAUUAUGCAGAAUUUUAAGGCUUAAUAUAAUUUAAACGGACGAGUUAUAAAAAUUCACCCCCCCUCACAGUUGUCAUGAAGGGCAAAAUUAGUUAUAUAGACCAAAAUCAUUUUUUGAACCAGGCUGUAAACAUGUUUUUUUCUGCUGUAAAGUUGGGCAUUUUAACAUGGGGAGUCUAUGGGACUGACUCCCUUUUGCAGCCAGCCUAAAGCGGCCUGUCGAUGAAUUGCAGUUUUAGUCACUUUCUUAUGGCUUCACGAGAGAGAGCGGGAGGUUGCCGCUAGUUUAGGAUGUAAAUGAAGACGUAAAAAAAGAUGUAGGAAUGUAUUUACAUAUCAUGAUAACAUACCGACUGCAUGUCUCUGUGCAGAAUUUGUAAGUGAGUACUAAACAUUUGCACUCACGGCCGGUUAGCUCAGUUGGUUAGAGCGUGGUGCUAAUAACGCCAAGGUCGCGGGUUCGAUCCCCGUACGGGCCAAUUAACUUUUUAACAGGCUGUUCACAUGCCAUAGUUUUUUCGAGUUGUAAAUAAAUCACUUUAAUAAAUAAGGAUAAAAAAUGUUAAUAAUCAAAUGUGGUGAUUAUAGGCCAUUACUAGAGAGCAAAAACAGAUGGCAAAACAAAUAAACAUGUUGAAUUUAAAAUGCAUAUGUUUAAAACAAAACAAAACUUUAUUUUAAAUUUCUUGUGCACUGCUCUGAUAUUACAAAAUAAUAAUAAUAAUACUAAUAUUUAAAACCUGCUUCCUAUUUAAAACUUAUGUCUAUGAUUAUUCACGAUGUAAUAUUUUUUUCUUAUGUGUGAGUGAUUAGAAAACAACUGGAAUGCUUGAAUAAGUCAAGGCCCAGUUAAGAAAGCAGUGCUCCACAACCCUAAAUGGUCAUAAGGCACAGAAGACCAGAGGCCAGUUUCUGCAGUACAUUCCAACAAGGUAAUGGCAUGGAGUCUCAAAUGGUGAUUACUGAAUACACAGUUUUAUAGACUUUUAUUUUGAAAAUAUUUCUUAAUUUGAAUCAGUCUAACAAGGAAGUAAAAGCUCAUCAAUUCAAACAUGGAACUUAAAAAUAAAGAAAAAAUAUCAUGAUAUUAGUAGUGUAAAUCAUGUUAAUAAGCUGGAGAGCUAUGAAGUGAUUUAUUUGCUGCUUGUUGUUUUACUCAACAGGGACCAGAAUUUCUGUAUUGUAUAACAAUCUUAAGAUAUUUCCACCUAUGCAAAGAAAGUGUGAAAGGUAAGUAUAGCCUAUCUGUUGGGCAAAUUAAAAUACUAAACUUGCACUCUACAGUCAAAUGUUAAGCAACUAGUUAAAUCCACAAAAUGUGCACAUUACAUUAUGGUUUUAGGGGUCAAAGCGUUAAUCAUUAUAUAAAAGAACUUAAAGGGAUACUCCACCCCAAAAUGAAAAUUAAUUAAUUAAUCACUUACCCCCAUGUCGCUCCAAACCCAUAAAAGCUUUGUUAGUCUUCAGAACACAAUUUAAGGUCAAGGUACCAUAAAAGGUAAUGAAAGUCAUCGUCAGAAUACUCCAUCUGCCAUCGGACAUUCAAUCUGGGUUAUAUGAAGUGACGGGAACAGUUUUUUUAAGCGAAGAAACAAACAAAAAAGACUUUAUUCAAUAAUUCCUUUGUCAACAGUCUCCUCUGUGUCUCUCCAUAUCACUGUAUUCUCUUCUGUAUCAUCUGCUCCACAAGGAUGUGGUGUUUUCUUUCAAAUCAAAGCUA
rnacentral:lncRNA from 1 species